UACGUAGGGGGCAAGCGUUGUCCGGAAUUAUUGGGCGUAAAGAGUACGUAGGCGGUUUAUUAAGCGCAAGGUGAAAGGCAGUGGCUUAACCAUUGUAAGCCUUGCGAACUGGUAGACUUGAGUGCAGGAGAGGAAAGCGGAAUUCCUAGUGUAGCGGUGAAAUGCGUAGAUAUUAGGAGGAACACCGGUGGCGAAGGCGGCUUUCUGGACUGUAACUGACGCUGAGGUACGAAAGCGUGGGGAGCAAACAGG
rnacentral:rRNA from 1 species